rnacentral:rRNA from 1 species
ACCAGACUCCUACGGGAGGCAGCAGUGGGGGAUAUUGCACAAUGGGGGGAACCCUGAUGCAGCGACGCCGCGUGGGUGAAGAAGCGCCUCGGCGCGUAAAGCCCUGUCAGCAGGGAAGAAAAUGACGGUACCUGAAGAAGAAGCCCCGGCUAACUACGUGCCAGCAGCCGCGGUAAUACGUAGGGGGCAAGCGUUAUCCGGAUUUACUGGGUGUAAAGGGGGCGCAGACGGCAGCGCAAGCCAGGAGUGAAAGCCCGGGGCCCAACCCCGGGACUGCUCUUGGAACUGCGCGGCUGGAGUGCAGGAGGGACAGGCGGAAUUCCUGGUGUAGCGGUGAAAUGCGUAGAUAUUAGGAAGAACACCAGUGGCGAAGGCGGCUUACUGGACGGCAACUGACGCUGAGGCUCGAAAGCGUGGGGAGCAAACAGGAUUAGAUACCCGCGUA